rnacentral:misc_RNA from 1 species
GAUGAAGAACGCAGCGAAAUGCGAUAAGUAAUGUGAAUUGCAGAAUUCAGUGAAUCAUCGAAUCUCUGAACGCACAUUGCGCCCGCCAGUAUUCUGGCGGGCAUGCCUGUUCGAGCGUCAUUACAACCCUCAGGCCCCCGGGCCUGGCGUUGGGGAUCGGCGGAGCCCCCCGUGGGCACACGCCGUCCCCCAAAUACAGUGGCGGUCCCGCCGCAGCUUCCAUCGCGUAGUAGCUAACACCUCGCGACUGGAGAGCGGCGCGGCCACGCCGUAAAACACCCAACUCUUCUGAAGUUGACCUCGAAUCAGGUAGGAAUACCCGCUGAACUUAAGCAUAUCAAUAAGCGGAGGA